rnacentral:ncRNA from 1 species
GGCGAUAACGGCAAACUUGGCGCAAGCCAGGGGCGCAAAGCCAUGACCCCCGGAGGGCCGGGGGCGUCAGGCUACCGAAC